GUAAAAGUGACAUUUCGCUCAUACUAAAUCAGCUGUCAAAAUUACUUUGGUAAAAAGGAGAAAUUUUACUUGAGUGAUUUACUUUUCAGGUCCGUACUUGGCUUUAGGAGUAAACAUCGCUGUUAAACAAGUGCCUCAAAACGAAUCAUGCAAGUUGUGAAUAUAAUGGGCAAUUGUUACUGGUAUCAUUUAUCCUGUGGAUGAAUUCCUUCGCGUAUUUUCUUCGAAGAAAAGACAAUUUUCUUGCUAGUCAGUAAUGGAAGAGAAUUUCUUCCCUUCGAAGAAAAUACGCGCCGGAAUUCGCCUACUGUAGGCGGCGUGUGUAAUGGAAGAAAAUGUCUUCUCUUCGGAGAAAUUGUUCGCCGGAAUUCACCUACUGGUUUUGAUCGAACAACCGCAAGAAAAAAAAAAUAAAAACAUCUAACCGGGAAGGCUACUCGUACCGUCAAACUACAUCCUCCAUUGCUUUCAUCAAUCCCCCAGAGAUUUACAACAUCCGGGGAUACAUUCCAGAGCAGCGAAAAUUUCGACACAAACACCGCAAUAUUUACUUGCAAUAUCAUGUACUAUCCAUAUAUUUAUGUUUGAGAUAAUAAAAUAAAUGUUAUCCUUUUGUA